AAAAAAAGUAAAAACUUACCGAGUGUGGACGCCUGGUGGUCAACGAUGUCAGCCAAUGAGCAUGUAGCAGACAGCUAACUGAUUUGGUGGCUGUGGUGCUGUCUCUUCUUCAGGUAAAUUGGCAUCGCGGACUUCGCUAGGAUAAACUGACUGAGGUAAAGGUACGACUACGAUGGGGCAACCGACCUUUAAUUUGGCUUAGUAGUUUACUUUUGGUCUUUUUUUCUCACGUUCUCUCCAAACUUUGCUUUUGAUUCUAUCUAGAUUUUUCUUCUACCCAGUGAGAAAUGGAUUUUCUUCAACUUCGAUUCGAUGUCGUUUAAACGUCGAAAUAGUCUAAUGAACGUCAUUUUGUCCUCUAAAUCCACGUCUUUUCGGCAUUUCGACGUCGAUUCGACGUUGAAUCCACGUUUUUAUUUCUCACUGGUUUAGAAUCGUUCUGGUAAAGUUUUAAAUAAAAUGCUGUUAACUCUUGGCACAAAAUUACGAUUUUGUUGACUCUUUAAACUCGAAACGCUUAUUGUUUGAUUGUAAAAUUAUUUACCGAAAGACAAACUG